rnacentral:tRNA from 2 species
CCCUGGUUAGCUCAGUUGAUAGAGCGCUCCACCUGUAAUGGAGAGGUCCCGGGUUCGAUACCCGGACCAGGCA